rnacentral:rRNA from 1 species
UAACUUAGUGGCGGACGGGUGAGUAACGCGUGGGUAACCUGCCAUAUACAGGGGGAUAACACUUAGAAAUAGGUGCUAAAACCGCAUAAGCGCACAGCUUCGCAUGAAGCAGUGUGAAAAACUCCGGUGGUAUAUGAUGGACCCGCGUCUGAUUAGCCAGUUGGCAGGGUAACGGCCUACCAAAGCGACGAUCAGUAGCCGGCCUGAGAGGGUGAACGGCCACAUUGGGACUGAGACACGGCCCAAACUCCUACGGGAGGCAGCAGUGGGGAAUAUUGCACAAUGGGGGAAACCCUGAUGCAGCGACGCCGCGUGAGUGAAGAAGUAUUUCGGUAUGUAAAGCUCUAUCAGCAGGGAAGAAAAUGACGGUACCUGAGUAAGAAGCCCCGGCUAACUACGUGCCAGCAGCCGCGGUAAUACGUAGGUUGCAAGCGUUGUCCGGAUUUACUGGGUGUAAAGGGCGUGUAGGCGGAGAUGCAAGUUGGGAGUGAAAUCCAUGGGCUCAACCCAUGAACUGCUCUCAAAACUGUAUCCCUUGAGUAUCGGAGAGGCAAGCGGAAUUCCUAGUGUAGCGGUGAAAUGCGUAGAUAUUAGGAGGAACACCAGUGGCGAAGGCGGCUUGCUGGACGACAACUGACGCUGAGGCGCGAAAGCGUGGGGAGCAAACAGGAUUAGAUACCCUGGUAGUCCACGCUGUAAACGAUGAAUACUAGGUGUGGGAGGACUGACCCCUUCCGUGCCGCAGUUAACACAAUAAGUAUUCCACCUGGGGAGUACGACCGCAAGGUUGAAACUCAAAGGAAUUGACGGGGGCCCGCACAAGCAGUGGAUUAUGUGGUUUAAUUCGAAGCAACGCGAAGAACCUUACCAGGCCUUGACAUCCCUUGCAGAGGUAUAGAGAUAUAUCCGAGGUUAUCAAGGAGACAGGUGGUGCAUGGUUGUCGUCAGCUCGUGUCGUGAGAUGUUGGGUUAAGUCCCGCAACGAGCGCAACCCUUGUGAUAUGUUACUAACAUUGAGUUGAGGACUCAUAUCAGACUGCCGGUGAUAAACCGGAGGAAGGUGGGGAUGACGUCAAAUCAUCAUGCCCCUUAUGGCCUGGGCUACACACGUACUACAAUGGCGUCUACAAAGAGCGGCAAGCCUGUGAAGGCAAGCGAAUCUCAUAAAGGACGUCUCAGUUCGGAUUGAAGUCUGCAACUCGCCUGCAUGAAGCUGGAAUUGCUAGUAAUCGCGGAUCAGCAUGCCGCGGUGAA